UACGUAGGGAGCAAGCGUUGUCCGGAAUCAUUGGGCGUAAAGCGCGCGUAGGCGGCCCUGCAAGUCGGAUGUGAAAUCCCACGGCUCAACCGUGGAAGUGCAUUCGAAACUGCAGGGCUAGAGUCCUGGAGAGGAAGGUGGAAUGCUUGGUGUAGAGGUGAAAUUCGUAGAUAUCAAGCGGAACACCGGUGGCGAAGGCGGCCUUCUGGACAGUGACUGACGCUGAGACGCGAAAGCGUGGGGAGCA
rnacentral:rRNA from 1 species